rnacentral:misc_RNA from 1 species
UCCGUUUUGUCAACGGCAGUCUCAAUAGAGUGCUCGGCCGAACCGCUAGCAACUAUCGACAAGGGUUGCGCUCGUUGCGGGACUUAACCCAACAUCUCACGACACGAGCUGACGACAGCCGUGCAGCACCUGUGUUACGGUUCCCUUUCGGGCACUCUCCCAUCUCUGGAAGAUUCCGUACAAGUCAAGGGUAGGUAAGGUUUUUCGCGUUGCAUCGAAUUAAUCCACAUAAUCCACCGCUUGUGCGGGUCCCCGUCAAUUCCUUUGAGUUUUAACCUUGCGGCCGUACUCCCCAGGCGGUCGACUUCACGCGUUAGCUUCGUUACUGAGAGUGUCAAACCCCCAACAACCAGUCGACAUCGUUUAGGGCGUGGACUAC